rnacentral:rRNA from 1 species
AACGUCGUGAGACAGUUCGGUCCCUAUCCGGCGCAGGCGUAGGAUAUCUGAGAGGAGCUGUCCUUAGUACGAGAGGACCGGGAUGGACGGACCGCUGGUGUAUCUGUUAGGAACCAAUCCUAUGGCAGAGUAGCCAAGUCCGGCAGGGAUAAACGCUGAAGGCAUCUAAGCGUGAAGCCCCCCUCAAGAUGAGAUAUCCCCAUGAAAGGUCAUGGUAAGACCCCUUGAAGAGUACGAGGUAGAUAGGCUUAAGGUGUAGGCACAGUAAUGUGUAGAGCUGAUAAGUACUAAUCGGUCGAGGGCUUAUCCUUGA